rnacentral:misc_RNA from 1 species
GGUGGGAGCGAGCUUGCUGGCGAUGGCGGAGUGUCAGUCAGCCUCUGUAUUUCUGACCCACCGCCAUCGCCAGCAAGCUCGCUCCCACA